rnacentral:rRNA from 1 species
GAUGAACGCUAGCUACAGGCUUAACACAUGCAAGUCGAGGGGAAACGAUAUUGGAAGCUUGCUUCCGAUAGGCGUCGACCGGCGCACGGGUGAGUAACGCGUAUCCAACCUGCCCACCACUUGGGGAUAACCUUGCGAAAGUAAGACUAAUACCCAAUGAUAUCUCUAGAAGACAUCUGAAGGAGAUUAAAGAUUCAUCGGUGAUGGAUGGGGAUGCGUCUGAUUAGCUUGUUGGCGGGGUAACGGCCCACCAAGGCGACGAUCAGUAGGAGAUCUGAGAGGAAGGUCCCCCACAUUGGAACUGAGACUCGGUCCAAACUCCUACGGGACGCAGCAGUGAGGAAUAUUGGUCAAUGGGCGAGAGCCUGAACCAGCCAAGUAGCGUGCAGGAUGACGGCCCUAUGGGUUGUAAACUGCUUUUAUAAGGGAAUAAAGUGAGUCUCGUGAGACUUUUUGCAUGUACCUUAUGAAUAAGGACCGGCUAAUUCCGUGCCAGCCGCCGCAGUAA